AAUACGGAGGGGGCUAGCGUUGUUCGGAAUUACUGGGCGUAAAGCGCGCGUAGGCGGACCUGCAAGUCGGGGGUGAAAGCCCGAGGCUCAACCUCGGAAUUGCCUUCGAUACUGCGGGUCUCGAGUCCGGGAGAGGUGAGUGGAAUUCCUAGUGUAGAGGUGAAAUUCGUAGAUAUUCGCAAGAACACCAGUGGCGAAGGCGGCUCACUGGCCCGGUACUGACGCUGAGGUGCGAAAGCGUGGGGAGCAAACAGGA
rnacentral:rRNA from 1 species